rnacentral:lncRNA from 1 species
CUUGGAGAAGUUUUAUGGUUUCCUAAUGUGAUUUUAGUUGCCUUCAAAUUUAGUUUAGGAUCUUGCUUUUCUUAGUGACUUUUCUUUAUUUGGUUUUGUUUUUAGCUUGGUCUUUCUUUUUUUAGGAUAGUUCUUUUUUUUUUUUUUUUUUUUUUAAUUUACCUUAUUCUUUUUUUCUUUUUCUUUUUCUUUUUUAAAGAUUAGAUUCAUUUUAGAUUAAUUCACUUAGUCUUAUUUUAGAAUAAUUCAUUCGGUAUUGUUUUAGAUUAAUUCAUUUGGUAUCACUUUUAGAUGAAUUCAAUUAGUUUUGUUUUAAAU